rnacentral:rRNA from 1 species
UAAGGAAUAUUGGUCAAUGGACGCAAGUCUGAACCAGCCAUGCCGCGUGAAGGAUGAAGGUCCUCUGGAUUGUAAACUUCUUUUAUCUGGGACGAAAACGGGAUUUUUAUCUCAAUUGACGGUACCAGAGGAAUAAGCACCGGCUAACUCCGUGCCAGCAGCCGCGGUAAUACGGAGGGUGCGAGCGUUAUCCGGAUUUACUGGGUUUAAAGGGUGCGUAGGUGGGCUUAUAAGUCAGUGGUGAAAUCUCCGAGCUUAACUUGGAAACUGCCGUUGAUACUAUAGGUCUUGAAUUAUCUGGAGGUGAGCGGAAUAUGACAUGUAGCGGUGAAAUGCUUAGAUAUGACAUAGAACACCAAUUGCGAAGGCAGCUUACUACAUAUAAAUUGACGCUGAGGCACGAAAGCGUGGGGAUCAAACA